AACGCACCUUGCACCCUUUGGUAUUCCGAAGGGUACACCCGUUUGAGUGUCAUUGUAAUCUCACUCCACCAGCUAUUUGUUGAUGGAUGUGGACCUGGACUCUGUUGUGUUACUACAACUGGUCUGAAAUGCAUGAGUGCACCCUGCUAUUGCAGCGUUUUCAGUGUGAUAAGCAUCUUCACUGGAUCAAGCUCCCUGGGGACACGCAGCAUUGUGGGCUCUGUGCUGGCAAACUGUCUUUGGACAACUUUGACAAUUUGACCUCAGAUCGGGUGGGACUACCCGCUGAACUUAA
rnacentral:misc_RNA from 1 species